rnacentral:rRNA from 1 species
GGCAGCAGUAGGGAAUCUUCCGCAAUGGGCGAAAGCCUGACGGAGCAACGCCGCGUGAGUGAUGAAGGUCUUCGGAUCGUAAAACUCUGUUAUUAGGGAAGAACAUAUGUGUAAGUAACUGUGCACAUCUUGACGGUACCUAAUCAGAAAGCCACGGCUAACUACGUGCCAGCAGCCGCGGUAAUACGUAGGUGGCAAGCGUUAUCCGGAAUUAUUGGGCGUAAAGCGCGCGUAGGCGGUUUUUUAAGUCUGAUGUGAAAGCCCACGGCUCAACCGUGGAGGGUCAUUGGAAACUGGAAAACUUGAGUGCAGAAGAGGAAAGUGGAAUUCCAUGUGUAG